GACGAACGCUGGCGGCGUGCUUAACACAUGCAAGUCGAACGGAAAGGCCCCUUUGGGGGUACUCGAGUGGCGAACGGGUGAGUAACACGUGAGUAACCUGCCCUUGACUUCGGGAUAACUUCAGGAAACUGGGGCUAAUACCGGAUAGGAAUCCUUGCUGCAUGGUGGGGGUUGGAAAGCUUCGGCGGUUUUGGAUGGACUCGCGGCUUAUCAGCUUGUUGGUGGGGUAGUGGCUUACCAAGGCUUUGACGGGUAGCCGGCCUGAGAGGGCGACCGGCCACAUUGGGACUGAGAUACGGCCCAGACUCCUACGGGAGGCAGCAGAGGGGAAUAGUGCACAAUGGGCGGAAGCCUGAUGCAGCAACGCCGCGUGCGGGAUGACGGCCUUCGGGUUGUAAACCGCUUUCAGCAGGGGCGAAGCUUGUGGUGACGGUACCUGCAGAAGAAGCACCGGCUAACUACGUG
rnacentral:rRNA from 1 species